UUCGGUCAAAUGACUUUUGAACUUAGUGGCGGACGGGUGAGUAACGCGUGAGCAACCUGCCUUUCAGAGGGGGAUAACAUUUGGAAACAGAUGCUAAUACCGCAUAAGAUUACAGUACCGCAUGAUACAGUGAUCAAAGGAGCAAUCCGCUGAAAGAUGGGCUCGCGUCCGAUUAGAUAGUUGGUGAGGUAACGGCUCACCAAGUCGACGAUCGGUAGCCGGACUGAGAGGUUGAACGGCCACAUUGGGACUGAGACACGGCCCAGACUCCUACGGGAGGCAGCAGUGGGGAAUAUUGCACAAUGGGCGAAAGCCUGAUGCAGCAACGCCGCGUGAGGGAAGACGGUUUUCGGAUUGUAAACCUCUGUUUUCGGUGACGAACAAAUGACGGUAACCGAGUAGGAAGCCACGGCUAACUACGUGCCAGCAGCCGCGGUAAUACGUAGGUGGCAAGCGUUAUCCGGAAUUACUGGGUGUAAAGGGAGCGCAGGCGGGAUAGCAAGUCAGCUGUGAAAACUAUGGGCUCAACCCAUAAACUGCAGUUGAAACUGUUAUUCUUGAGUGGAGUAGAGGCAAGCGGAAUUCCGAGUGUAGCGGUGAAAUGCGUAGAUAUUCGGAGGAACACCAGUGGCGAAGGCGGCUUGCUGGGCUCUAACUGACGCUGAGGCUCGAAAGUGUGGGGAGCAAACAGGAUUAGAUACCCUGGUAGUCCACACUGUAAACGAUGAUUGCUAGGUGUGGGGGGUCUGACCCCCUCCGUGCCGGAGUUAACGCAAUAAGCAAUCCACCUGGGGAGUACGGCCGCAA
rnacentral:rRNA from 1 species